rnacentral:rRNA from 1 species
CUGGCUCAGGAUGAACGCUGGCGGUGUGCCUAACACAUGCAAGUCGAACGGGUUUAGACCCGUGGCAGACGGGUGAGUAAUGGCAAGGAACGUACCCAGACGACGAGGAUAAUCCGCCGAAAGGUGGAAUAAUACUCGAUAUCCCUCCGGGGGAAAGAUUUAUCGCGUCUGGAGCGGCCUUGCUCCCAUCAGCUAGUUGGUAGGGUAAUGGCCUACCAAGGCAACGACGGGUAGCCGACGUGAGAGCGUGAUCGGCCACAAUGGGACUGAGACACGGCCCAUACUCCUACGGGAGGCAGCAGUUGGGAAUAUUGGACAAUGGGCGAAAGCCUGAUCCAGCGACACCGCGUGGAGGAAGACGGCCUUCGGGUUGUAAACUCCUUUUAUUUGGGACGAUUAUGACGGUACCAAAUGAAUAAGCAGCGGCUAACUACGUGCCAGAAGCCUCGGUGAUACGUAGGCUGCAAGCGUUAUCCGGAAUUACUGGGCGUAAAGCGUUCAACGGUGGUUUUGUUCGUUCCGUGUUUAAUCUCCAGGCUUAACUUGGAGUCUGCACGGAAGACAGCAAGACUCGAGUCCUACAGGGGUCAGCGGAAUUGGCGGUGUAGCAGUGAAAUGCGUUGAUAUCGCCAAGAACACCGAUGGCGAAGGCAGCUGACUAGGUAGGUUCUGACACUCAAGAACGAAAGCGUGGGGAGCGAACAGGAUUAGAUACCCUGGUAGUCCACGCCGUAAACGAUGCAGACUAGCUAUUCGGAGUAUCGACCCUCUGUGUAGCGAAGCUAACGCGUGAAGUCUGCCGCCUGGGAGCACGGUCGCAGACUAAACUC